rnacentral:tRNA from 1 species
GCCCUCGUAGCUCAAAUGGAUAGAGCGGCACCGUCCUAAGGUGCGCGUUAGUGGUUCGAGUCCGCUCGGGGGCGCCA